rnacentral:rRNA from 1 species
UACAGAGGUCUCAAGCGUUGUUCGGAUUCACUGGGCGUAAAGGGUGCGUAGGUGGCGUGGUAAGUCGGGUGUGAAAUUUCGGAGCUUAACUCCGAAACUGCAUUCGAUACUGCUGUGCUUGAGGACUGGAGAGGAGACUGGAAUUUACGGUGUAGCAGUGAAAUGCGUAGAGAUCGUAAGGAAGACCAGUGGCGAAGGCGGGUCUCUGGACAGUUCCUGACACUGAGGCACGAAGGCCAGGGGAGCAAACGGG